rnacentral:rRNA from 1 species
GACGAACGCUGGCGGCGUGCCUAAUACAUGCAAGUAGGACGCAGUUGCGAACGGGUGAGUAACGCGUAGGUAACUACCUAUUAGAGGGGGAUAACUAUUGGAAACGAUAGCUAAUACCGCAUAAUAGUAGAUGGACCUGCGUUGUAUUAGCUAGUAGGUAGGGUAAUGGCCUACCUAGGCAACGAUACAUAGCCGAACUGAGAAGGUGUGAGGACAAAAGGGGACUGUGACACGGGCCAGACUCCUACGGGAGGCAGCAGUAGGGGAUGUUCGUGAAUGGGUGAAACCCUGACCGAGCAACGUCGCGUGGGUGAAGAAGGUUAUCGGAUCGUAAAGCUCUGUUGUUAAGGAAGCGGUACUUAACCAGGAAGGAACUGCUAACUACGUGCCAGCAGCCGCGGUAAUUC